GGAAGAAUGUCCUACGGAUUGUAAACUUCUUUUAUUUGGGAAGAAACCCUUGCUCGAGUAGCGAGGCUGACGGUACCAAAAGAAUAAGGACCGGCUAACUCCGUGCCAGCAGCCGCGGUAAUACGGAGGGUCCAAGCGUUAUCCGGAAUCAUUGGGUUUAAAGGGUUCGCAGGCGGUUUAAUAAGUCAGUGGUGAAAUCUCGGGGCUCAACCUCGAAACUGCCAUUGAUACUGUUAGACUUGAAUACAGUUGGAGUAGGCGGAAUGUGUAGUGUAGCGGUGAAAUGCUUAGAUAUUACACAGAACACCGAUAGCGAAGGCAGCUUACUAAACUGUUAUUGACGCUCAUGAACGAAAGCGUGGGGAGCGAACAGGAUUAGAUACCCUGGUAGUCCACGCCGUAAACUAUGAUUACUCGAUAUUGGCGAUAUACGGUCAGUGUCUAAGCGAAAGUGAUAAGUAAUCCACCUGGGGAGUACGGUCGCAAGAUUG
rnacentral:rRNA from 1 species